AUGUGACCAGGGAAGCCCUAAUGUGAAGGCUGUGCGGAACCUUGGGGCUAGCCUGGACCCUCUGGGAGGUGAGGAGUCCCACUGUAUCCUGGUGGGGGUUCAGAGGGUUCCUGUGAUUUUUGAUGUCCCUCACCUUCUGAAAUCAAUCAGGAACAACCUGUUCAAACAUGCCCUACAGACACAAGGAAAAACGGUUCUUUGGAAGCACAUCAGCCAAUUCUAUGAGCUGGACAAGCUCCACACUAUUCGCAUGGCCCCGAAGCUUACUGAUAAGCACAUUCUGCUGCCAGCAUUUUCCAAGAUGCGUGUCAGUUUGGCUGCACAGGUGUUCAGCCACACUGUCUCUGCUGGAGAAGGAGAACUUCCUGAGGGAAUGCAUCAGCUGGGUGGCAAGCUGGCAGUUCAGAUCUCAGCGUAAGCCACCUCCUUCCCAGCACGGAAUGUGCCUCUCAAUAAAAAGUGUCCUUCUUGUCCACAAGAGGUGCACAGAUACAGGAAUGAAGUAUCUGUGCACCUCAAAAUUGAACCAGGACUGCAUUGAGAACCUAUUCUCCUUGAUUCAAGGCAAAGGGGGGCACAAAUACAAUCCCAGUGCGAGGGAAUUCACCUCUGCACUCAGGGGUUUGAGUGUAGCCAACAUUUUACCUGCUCUUUCUGCAUCGACUGCAUCAAACUGCGAGCUGGAUGACGGGACAACCCUCCAAGCCAGUAUGUCAGAGGACGCAAUCCCCUCCACCUCAACAGCUCCAAUGACCUCAAUGGCCCUCCCUACCACCCUGACAACAGAGAUGGAGGAUGAAGAACCAGUGGUAUCGGACAUUGUGGAAGAUCAGACUGUUGGCGAUUGCAUCCAGGAGGAGGGCCUGUUCUACGUUGCUGGCUGGCUUGUCCGGGUCCUU
ensembl:lncRNA